GCGGAUGUAGCCCAAUUC
rnacentral:tRNA from 1 species